CAGUGCUAAAGGGAAAGAGAGCUGACCAAAUCUCCCAAAUCCUCCUCAUGCUGAGCAAACAGAUGGUUCUGGGGAUUCUAGAGACUGAGGGGAGACACUCUAGCCAUGGAGGGGCAGGAAGACCCAGGCCUCUUCUUGAUACCCCGUUACAGAGCUGCCUCUCAGGAUGCUGAGUGACAUCAGAGCACAGCCUGAUCCCAGACUUGCUUCUAAACUGGGGAGCUCUCUUCUUAGCAUCAGGACCACGGCUUCCUGUGUGAGUGCUGCCUUCCUGCUCCUCCUUGCAGCCCAAGAUGGACUCCAAACCCGGCCAGACCUGCCGGGGAGACUCUAUAGGACCCACCUACAUAACAAGGACCACUGGGAGUCUCAGCUAAAGAAUAAGAAGUUAAGCCAAGACUAACUGAUGAGGAGCCUUGAAGGCCUGUGGAGAUGCUGGAGAAAUCAGCUGAGCCAUCAUGGGCUUGAAGUUGGGCAAAUGACAUGAAAACUGACCAAAAUGGCAUUUAAUCAUUCUGUCAUUCAUUGAGGAUCCAUAAAAAAUAGUGUAAUUGGCCAACUGUCCUAUAAUUAGCAUAUUAAUACCGUGACCCUUUCCAGGUAAGCAGCGUGGAUUUCUCUGUAUAUAUUGUGCUUGGACCUGGACUGGAGGGCCCAUCUGGAACAGGGAGUCAGAGCUCUACUACCGCUUGGCCUGGCUGUUUUUGUUCCAAGAUGAGGAUUAGUGCUAAUAAUUUCUCCCCAGGGAGGCACUAUCUAAAUUCAGCUUUUCUGCAGUGAAAUCCAGCCAGAGUCCUGUUGGGGACCAGAGGAGAGAGGAACACAUAAGUAGGUCAAGCUCUGCAUCUUUGUGCACUAACAAAGAUGGAAAACAUCAAAGACUCCCGUCACCCAGGUGAUUGUUCUGUUUGUAUUGACCCUGGAAAUCUGGGAGGAGGGUGAUUCACAGCAUCAGAAGCCGGCAAGGCUCCUGGAGCCAAAGACUGGAUCAUGCCCUGUGCUCACAGAGCUAGGCAGGUGGGGCACUACUGUACUUGGUGCAGCACACACUCUGCAACCGGAUCUGAGGGCUCUGGCCUCAACCUUUGAGGCAGAGCACUUACCUGAUAGACAGGCACUUGUGGCUCAAAAACUCCCUGAGAUCCAGUUUGUUGCAAGGGCUUGCUAUUUCCAGCUGGGAUCUGCCACACCUCAUUGAAUGAAACAGUCUGUCCCCCAUAGGUUUGAAUAUUUGAUUGCAGGAUUGGGGGACUUGAGGUCCGGAAGUUGUAUUUUUUCUAUGCAACUGUAGUUAGUGACAUCAGAGCUCUGUUGUCCCCCGUGUCUCCUUACUUUAAAUCAAGGAAUGGGCUGGGUGGCUUCUGAGACCUCUCCUCCAUUAACACUGAUCACAGCAGUAAUCUUAAACAAGCGUCUAAUGGCAAAGCCAAGUAAUCUAGAUAGGAGUGAGCAAAGGGAUGCUCGAGCUUAGUACACGACGGAGGCACGUUAGUGCGCAGAAGAAUGGCCCUUUAUUCUGAGCCUGCUCAAGACUUAGUUAACUAUCCUGUGUUUCUUCAACCUCCAAGCCUCUCCCCAAGGUGACAUCCCUCAGUUAGUCAGGGCUGACCGAGAUCCAAAGUUGUUCAAGUCUAAGUGGCCAGAAAGAAGCAGAUAUGGGUCUUUAUUCUAAAAGUCAACGAUAAGAGUGAGCAGGUACCCACUGUGCCGUACUUAAAGUUUAAUAAUCAUGAUUAAAACAUCUAAUCUACCCAGAGGUACCCUGAAGUAUGGACGCUGGUGAGUUUAUGGAUGAGGCCAGUAAGCGUUAUCAAGGUCAGCAAGUUAAUGAAAAGUUAUGAAGACACCGUAUUCUGAGUGAGUGAAGGGAUAUAUGGGUAAACUGGUGACGAAAUAUUUUAGAUAACCAAGUCUCUGUUAAGGCUUAUGAAGAUAAACCCAGUGCCAUGGUAGCCAGGAAUCAUUAAGGUGUUCCCCAGUCAUGUGCCUCCCUUACUUAAAUGUCUUAAAUGAUUCCAUAUUGUGGCAGUUUGAGUGAGAAAUGUCCCCCAUAGGCUCAAAUAUUUGAACAUUUUGUCCCCAGUUGGUAGUGCUCCUUGAAGAGGCCAUAGAGUCUUUAAGAGGUCCUGCUUUGCUGGAAGAAGUGUGUCACUGGGGGUGGGCUCUACAACUUCGUAGCCACAUUUCUGGUUUAUUCUCUCUGCUUUCUGUAUGUGCUUGAAGAUGUGAGCACUCAGCUUUCAUCUCUGGCUGACUCUGCCAUGC